rnacentral:rRNA from 1 species
GAGUUUGAUCCUGGCUCAGAUUGAACGCUGGCGGCAGGCCUAACACAUGCAAGUCGAGCGGAUGAAGGGAGCUUGCUCCUGGAUUCAGCGGCGGACGGGUGAGUAAUGCCUAGGAAUCUGCCUGGUAGUGGGGGAUAACGUCCGGAAACGGGCGCUAAUACCGCAUACGUCCUGAGGGAGAAAGUGGGGGAUCUUCGGACCUCACGCUAUCAGACGAGCCUAGGUCGGAUUAGCUAGUUGGUGGGGUAAAGGCCUACCAAGGCGACGAUCCGUAACUGGUCUGAGAGGAUGAUCAGUCACACUGGAACUGAGACACGGUCCAGACUCCUACGGGAGGCAGCAGUGGGGAAUAUUGGACAAUGGGCGAAAGCCUGAUCCAGCCAUGCCGCGUGUGUGAAGAAGGUCUUCGGAUUGUAAAGCACUUUAAGUUGGGAGGAAGGGCAGUAAGUUAAUACCUUGCUGUUUGACGUUACCAACAGAAUAAGCACCGGCUAACUUCGUGCCAGCCGCCGCCGUAAC